rnacentral:rRNA from 1 species
GGCAAGAGCUCAGAUUUGAAAUCGUGUUUCGGCACGAGUUGUAGAGUGUAGGCGGGAGUCUCUGUGGAGCGCGGUGUCCAAGUCCCUUGGAACAGGGUGCCUGAGAGGGUGAGAGCCCCGUAGGGUGCUGCGCGAAGCUUUUGAGGCCCUGCUGACGAGUCGAGUUGUUUGGGAAUGCAGCUCCAAGCGGGUGGUAAAUUCCAUCUAAGGCUAAAUAUUGGCGAGAGACCGAUAGCGAACAAGUACUGUGAAGGAAAGAUGAAAAGCACUUUGAAAAGAGAGUGAAACAGCACGUGAAAUUGUUGAAAGGGAAGGGUAUUGGGCUCGACAUGGGGGGUGCGCACCGCUGUCUCUUGUAGGCGGCGCUCUGGGCGCCCUCUGGGCCAGCAUCGGUUCCUGCUGCGGGAGAAGGGGCUCCGGAAAGUGGCUCUUCGGAGUGUUAUAGCCGGGGCCAGAUGCCGCGUGUGGGGACCGAGGACUGCGGCUUCUGUCUCGGAUGCUGGCAUAACGGCGCAAUACCGCCCGUCU